CUAACCGUAAACGAUGACAACCAGCGAUUAGUCGGCGUUAAUAUAAGACCCGACUAGCAGCUUCCGGGAAACCAAAGUUUUUCGUUUCCGGGGGAAGUAUGGUUGCAAAGCUGAAACUUAAAGGAAUUGACGGAAGGGCACCACCAGGAGUGGAGCCUGCGGCUUAAUUUGACUCAACACGGGAAAACUCACCCGGCCCGGACACCGUAAGGAUUGACAGACUGAGAGCUCUUUCUUAAUUCGGUGGGUGGUGGUGCAUGGCCGUUCUUAGUUGGUGGAGCGAUUUGUCUGGUUAAUUCCGAUAACGAACGAGACUCUGGCCUAUUAAAUAGACGGUAUAUCUAGAAAAAGUAUACCGCGCUUCUUAGAGGGACAACCGGCGUCUAGCCGCGUGAAAUAGAGCAAUAACAGGUCUGUGAUGCCCUUAGAUGUCCGGGGCUGCACGCGCGCUACACUGAAAGAAUCAGUAUGCGCCGUCACCUAGUUCGGAAGAACCGGGUAACCCGAGCAAAUUCCUUCGUGCUUGGGAUAGGGAAUUGCAAUUAUUUCCCUUAAACGAGGAAUUCCCAGUAAAGCCGGGUCAUAAGCUCGCGUUG
rnacentral:rRNA from 1 species